UGCGUAGGUGGCAGUGCAAGUCAGAUGUGAAAGGCCGGGGCUCAACCCCGGAGCUGCAUUUGAAACUGCAUAGCUAGAGUACAGGAGAGGCAGGCGGAAUUCCUAGUGUAGCGGUGAAAUGCGUAGAUAUUAGGAGGAACACCAGUGGCGAAGGCGGCCUGCUGGACUGUUACUGACACUGAGGCACGAAAGCGGUGGGGAGCAAAC
rnacentral:rRNA from 1 species